rnacentral:misc_RNA from 1 species
UUGAAGAACGUCGAACAUGAUGUGAACGCAACCAGCCUCACCGCGUUCACUUCAAAUCGAACACGUUUUAGCGUUAUUACCGUUAUUAGCGUUAUUAACGCUAUUAACGCUGUCAGGCGUCCAAAGGUGCGUUCCACUUAUCGCCCGUAACGCCCAGACGACGGCUACUGGGAUAGGAUAUUGGGGCAUUUUGGGCGUUUUGGGCGAUAAGUGGAACACACCUCAAGUAGAAUGUACCCACACGGUCAAUAGUAUUGCGCAAUAUAGGUGAUUCCACAAUUUUAUUGACCGUGUGUAGCGGGCCUAACGACACGUUUCAUCAUUCGUCGCACUUCCAUGUAUUUAAAAAAUUUACGAACAAAAAAUGAAUCCGAAUCCUCAACAAUGUGUUAUGCUGUCGAGUAAUUAUAGUAUGCCAUUCAUUGGAAUUGGGACAUAUAAAAUUGUCGGGAGAGAAACAAUUCUCAACGUUCUUGAUGAAGCAUUGAAAGUUGGAUAUCGAUCUAUCGAUACAGCAGCAGUUUACAGAAACGAGGAAGAUAUUGGCAGAGCCUUGCAGUCAUUGUUGCCAAAGUACAAUCUUACCAGAGAAAAUAUUUUCAUAACAACAAAACUCUCUCCUAUCGAUCACGGUGAUUCCAGAAGAAUUGAAAAAGCAGUCCACAAUGCGUUGACCUCUCUAAAAGUUUCUUACAUCGAUCUGUUCCUAAUUCAUUGGCCCGGAAAGUCAGGAAUUUCUGAGAGUUCCAGCGCCAACAGAGAAUUCCGAAGCGAGACAUGGAAAACGUUGGUGAAAUUGAAAUCUCAAGGCCUGCUAAGAUCCAUUGGUGUCUCGAAUUAUAAUAUUAAGCAUCUUGGACAGCUUUUGGAAAAUUGUUAUGGUAUUAGACCGGCUGUGAAUCAAGUUGAAUGUCAUCCCCAUUACAAGCAAACCGAGCUCAUAAAAUUUUGCGAAGAAGAAGGAAUUCAUGUCCAAGCAUAUUCCUCUCUGGGUACCAGCAAUUACAAGUCCUUGCUUAAGGAUCCUAUAGUCUGUCGAGUUGCAAAUGAAUUGGCUGUUUCACCUGCCAGAGUACUAUUGAAGUGGGCUUUACAGCAAAACAUAGUUACAGUUCAAAAUUCACGAUGACCAGAUGAUUGCACUUUCAUCUUUAACACAAACCAAAUACGCAUGGGAUCCUGACAACGUUGCUUGAAAAUACUAGUACAUCCAGACUCCUUGCGGGGAUUGCUCAAUAAUACCAAUGAAUAUAACUGAGACUAGCCAUCAAAA